UCAAUGAGUGGCCUAACUUUAAAAUAGC
rnacentral:sRNA from 1 species